rfam:Capsicum annuum cultivar Zunla-1 unplaced genomic scaffold scaffold1341, whole genome shotgun sequence
AUCCCAAAUAAACUUCUCUGUUUAUUUGAUUCAUGGGAGGCAUAUAUUGAUAUUGGGAGUUUGCUGACCUUUCUUUUCUUCAGGGGCUGUUUGAAUAAUACCUCUCCACGCACAU